UAGUACAAAUUUCUUAAUUGUUUUCAUUUAACACAAAACAAAAGAAAAAACUCCCAAUCGCAUUUCGCCACGUAACCAAACGUGAAAAUCUUUUGCUAGAGUCAGAUCGCUCAACGUGCUCAAACAAUCAAACACCUUCUAGGCCUCUCUCUCUAUUGUUUCAGAGGGGAAACCCUACUUCUGCUUGUUUUUGUUAAUCAUUUUCUCUUAUAGAUUCGCACUGGUCAAACAUUCCCCGUUGGGCUCCGAUUAGCUCUUGUGUUUGAUUAUCGAGGCGAUGAUGUUAGGAGUUUUAAGGAGACGAGUUACUACUGGAGCUUCCUCUUCUUCGGUUUUGAGGCGGUCCCUGCAGACUACUAAACCUGCUGCUUCUGCACCUAGAGUUUCUUCUCUUCCUGAGAAGGAGAUUUUACUUAAUUUAAGAGGUUUAGGGAGUGCUGGAAACUUCAGCACCUUCAUUUCAUCAGGUUGCUCGGUUAGUUCAAGGUCCAUAAGGGAUGCUUCCAGCAUGAUGGCUACCAAGCAAGUGUGGAUUAGGCCAUUUUCUUCGGAUAGUGGGGAUUUGGUUGAUGCUGUUGUCCCUUUUAUGGGUGAAUCCAUAACAGAUGGAACUUUGGCAAAAUUCCUUAAGAAUCCUGGUGAUAGAGUAGAAGUUGAUGAGCCAAUUGCUCAAAUUGAGACAGAUAAGGUGACAAUUGAUGUGGCCAGUCCUGAAGCAGGUGUAAUUAAAGAGUUUGUGGCCAAGGAAGGGGAGACUGUGGAACCUGGUACCAAAGUUGCUAUUAUUUCAAAGUCUGGCGAAGGUGUAGCUCAUGUUGCUCCCUCUGAAAAAGUCCCAGAGAAAGUCUCUCCUAAGGCAUCUGCUCCAGAAAAGACUGAAGAGAAGCAAAAGCCUAAAGUUGAUACUGCUCCUGUAACUGAGAAGCCUAAAACACCAGCACCACCACCUCCUAAACGCUCAGCAACAGAACCCCAGCUCCCUCCUAAGGAAAGGGAAAGAAGAGUUCCAAUGACAAGGCUCCGAAAAAGAGUAGCAACCCGAUUGAAGGACUCCCAGAACACUUUUGCUAUGCUAACAACAUUCAAUGAAGUUGAUAUGACUAACUUGAUGAAGCUCCGAUCUGAGUAUAAGGAUGCUUUUGUUGAAAAACAUGGAGUUAAGUUGGGCCUUAUGUCAGGAUUUAUAAAGGCUGCCGUAAGUGGACUCCAGAAUCAACCUAUUAUAAAUGCAGUUAUAGAUGGGGAUGAUAUCAUUUAUAGAGAUUAUAUAGACAUCAGUAUUGCUGUUGGCACUCCAAAGGGCCUUGUCGUUCCUGUUAUUCGCAAUGCUGAUAAAAUGAAUUUUGCUGAGAUUGAGAAGGAGAUCAACACCCUUGCAAAGAAGGCUAAUGAUGGGACUAUAUCAAUUGAUGAGAUGGCUGGAGGUUCAUUUACAAUAUCUAAUGGAGGAGUUUAUGGAAGCCUCUUGAGUACACCUAUCAUUAACCCUCCUCAGUCGGCUAUUUUGGGCAUGCACUCAAUAGUGUCCCGUCCAAUGGUUGUUGGAGGCAAUGUCGUCCCAAGGCCAAUGAUGUAUAUUGCUCUGACAUAUGAUCAUAGGCUGAUCGAUGGAAGAGAGGCCGUUUUCUUUUUGCGUCGUAUCAAAGAUGUGGUGGAGGAUCCACGCAGGCUGCUGCUUGACAUUUGAAGAUCAAGCUGUAGUCGGGUUGUCAUUUGGUCAAAUUUCUGCUACACCUAGGAUUGCUAUACUUUCUUGGAUAGCAAUAAUACUUUGAUAUCAAAGUUUUGUAGGUUUUUAUGUUCUUGAUUCACCGCUAUAACGAGUUCAGUUGCGGCUUGCACAACUUAACUGAAAAUGAGAGAUGGUCUUGAACUUCAUAAGUUAAACUAGGAUGUUAAGAUUGGUUUUGCACUUUACAAUGGUUGAAAUCUAUUGGAGCUACAGCCACUGAUGUUAGUUUUGUGAAUUGUGAUCGCUCAGGUACUUGCAGAUCCUUAUGGCAUUCUCACAAAAUCUGAUCGGUUGAUAUCCUAAAAUGACCUCAUCUAUUUCUAGUUGAGCAUUGGCCGUUCUUACUUCUGUGGCAGUAACUUUGGAACUUCUUCUUGCCUAUUGUCUGACUUUCUGGUGGCCAAAAUGUUAGUUAGGGCAUAACUAUGAUUGUCCCUCUCAAUGUUUGGCAAUCAAAUUCAUUAGUUUGUUCCUA